rnacentral:rRNA from 1 species
UACGUAGGGUGCGAGCGUUAAUCGGAAUUACUGGGCGUAAAGCGUGCGCAGGCGGUUAUUUAAGUCAGGGGUGAAAGCCCUGGGCUUAACCUAGGAAUUGCGCUUGAGACUGGAUAGCUUGGAGUGCGGCAGAGGGAGGUGGAAUUCCACGUGUAGCAGUGAAAUGCGUAGAGAUGUGGAGGAACACCGAUGGCGAAGGCAGCCUCCUGGGCCAGCACUGACGCUCAUGCACGAAAGCCAGGGGAGCGAACGGG